rnacentral:lncRNA from 1 species
AGACAGAGCAGAAGGAGGUGAAGCAGCCGUUUGCACAUGGAACUACCUGGGCACCAAGCAGUCAUCCGUAGGCUACAGAGCCAAACAUGCAGAACCAACUAUUGCAGAAGAGAGGAAGCAGCAGAGGUGGGAGCAGCAGGCAGCAGAGAGGGAGCUGCAGCAGAGGCUGGAGCAGCAGGCAGCAGAGAGGGAGCUGCAGCAGAGGUGGGAGCAGCAGGCAGCAGAGAGGGAGCUGCAGCAGAGGCUGGAACAACAGGCAACAGAGAGGGAGCCACAGCAGAGGCUGGAGCAGCAGGCAGCAGAGAGGAGGCAGCAGAGGCUGGAGCAGCAGGCAGCAGAGAGGGAGCUGCAGCAGAGGUGGGAGCAGCAGGCAGCAGAGAGGGAGCUGCAGCAGAGGCUGGAACAACAGGCAACAGAGAGGGAGCCACAGCAGAGGCUGGAGCAGCAGGCAGCAGAGAGGAGGCAGCAGAGGCUGGAGCAGCAGGCAGCAGAGAGGGAGCAGCAGAGGUUGGAGCAGCAGGCAGAAGAGAGGAGGCAGCAGAGGUUGGAGCAGCAAGCAGCAGAGAGGAAGCAGCAGAGGUUGGAGCAGCAA